rnacentral:rRNA from 1 species
UACGUAGGGGGCAAGCGUUAUCCGGAUUUAUUGGGUUUAAAGGGAGCGUAGGUGGAUUGUUAAGUCAGUUGUGAAAGUUUGCGGCUCAACCGUAAAAUUGCAGUUGAAACUGGCAGUCUUGAGUACAGUAGAGGUGGGCGGAAUUCGUGGUGUAGCGGUGAAAUGCUUAGAUAUCACGAAGAACUCCGAUUGCGAAGGCAGCUCACUGGACUGCAACUGACACUGAGGCUCGAAAGUGUGGGUAUCAAACAGG